UCUCCGUUGGUGAACCAGCGGAGGGAUCAUUGCUGGAAGCGUCUCACGGCGCACCCAGAUACCCUUUGUGAACUUAUACCUAUUGUUGCCUCGGCGUAGGCCGGCCUCUUCACUGAGGCCCCCUGGAAACAGGGAGCAGCCCGCCGGCGGCCAACCAAACUCUUGUUUCUACAGUGAAUCUCUGAGUAAAAAACAUAAAUGAAUCAAAACUUUCAACAACGGAUCUCUUGGUUCUGGCAUCGAUGAAGAACGCAGC
rnacentral:misc_RNA from 1 species